rnacentral:rRNA from 1 species
AAUUCGAAGCAACGCGAAGAACCUUACCAGGGCUUGACAUGCCACUGACCGCAUCAGAGAUGGUGCUUUACCUUCGGGUACAGUGGACACAGGUGGUGCAUGGUUGUCGUCAGCUCGUGUCGUGAGAUGUUGGGUUAAGUCCCGCAACGAGCGCAACCCCUGUUUCUAGUUGCCAGCAUUAAGUUGGGCACUCUAGAGAGACUGCCGAUGACAAAUCGGAGGAAGGUGGGGAUGACGUCAAAUCAUCAUGCCCUUUAUGCCCUGGGCUACACACGUGCUACAAUGGUCGGUACAACGAGGAGCAAACCAGUGAUGGCAAGCAAAUCUCUAAAAGCCGAUCCUAGUUCGGAUUGUAGGCUGCAACUCGCCUACAUGAAGUCGGAGUUGCUAGUAAUCGCGGAUCAGAAUGUCGCGGUGAAUGCGUUCCCGGGUCUUGUACACACCGCCCGUCACACCAUGGGAGUUGUCAAUACCCGAAGCCAGUGAGCUAACCAGUAAUGGAGGCAGCUGUCGAAGGUAGGGGCGAUGACUGGGGUGAAGUCGUAACAAGGUAACCGUA